GGUUAGGAACAGGGAUCCCGAGCUCUGUCUGAGGUCACAGUCAGCUACACCCCUGGCCCUUUUUUUUUGAGACAGGGUCCAGCUAAAUCGCUGAGGCUGGCCUUCAACUCGGGAUCCUCCUGCCUCAGCCUCCCAAGCUGCUGGGGUGACAGGCGUGGGCCCCUGCGCUCGGUGCCUUUGUACUGUCUCUGACUGUGGCUGCUGAGGCAGAAGCUCAGAUGCUUCUGAGUCUCUCCUACCCAGCACUAUGAUCUGAAGUGACAGUGACGAUGGCAGCAGCCUCCUUCCCGUCUUCAUUCACUUCCUUCCGUAUCUGGCUUCUUGAGCCCAUCUGACCGCAGAGUUGUGCUGAGCAGAAAGGACAGCAAGGGACAGGCCUCCUGUCCUCGUCUGGUCCUCAGGACGAAGGCGUCGGUGCGUCACCCUGAGUGACGGUGUCGGCUGCGGGUGAGCACACGCGUGUGGUCAGCAGACAUGCUCUAUCUCAUUAAGAAACUUCUGGAAGCCUUGAUCCUGAAAGGUGUGAAUUCCACCCACCUGUUUCCCUGUCGGCUGCUUUUGGCCCACGGUGGCACCUGCAGGUCCCCCAAGCGAGGAGGGUGGGUGGCUGGUCUCAGGCCAGAUCUUCCCAGAGGGCACCCUGCAGGGAGCCCAGAUGGACAGGUGCAGGGGGGACACGCCCUGGGCCCCAGCCAACCCCCGGCAGGGCCUGUUUCCUUCCAGAACCCAGCGAGCCAAGAGCAGGGGCUGCCCGGGCUGCUCUUGUGCCUGGGUCCCCUUCCAGAAGAUUCUGGACAGAUGAGGAGGCUGUGGCUUGGAGGCCGUCACAGGAGAGCCAGAGGGUUCCAGAUUCUGGGUCCAAGUCCCACAGACACCUCAGGCCACUGGGCCAAAGCUGUGCCUCCAGAAAAGAGCCACGGUACGUGUGGUUUCUGCUGUGUCUGUUCAGCCCCACAUCCCAGGGCAAGUCCCUGUUCCCGCCAGACCAGGGGACGUUGGGAACCUGAGUUACCAGUGACAGACGCCAGAGGAAAACCGCUUCAGCCUCCCAGGAGGGGAUUUCUUGAUCCACAGGGGGAAGGCACACUCUUCCUUUGGGGGGGCCAAGAAGUCUGGGAUCACACCUCCCGCCUGAAGUGGGUGAGUCCAGGAGAAAGGCAGCAGCCCUUCCAAUUGAUGAGGUGAACCCUUAGGACGGAGGCUCUCAGGGGCCCAGGUCAAUCCACACACCCAAAUGGACACGCCACUGGCAACAUACGGUCCAAGACGCUGGGGCUGGGGCUCAGGGGCAGAGCACUGGCCUGGCAUGUGUGGGGCACUGGGCUGGAUCCUCAGCACCACAGAAAAAUAAGUAAGUAAA